rnacentral:rRNA from 1 species
CCUACGGGAGGCAGCAGUGGGGAAUAUUGGGCAAUGGGCGCAAGCCUGAUCCAGCAACGCCGCGUGAAGGAAGAAGGCUUUCGGGUUGUAAACUUCUUUUCUGAGGGACGAAGAAAGUGACGGUACCUCAGGAAUAAGCCACGGCUAACUACGUGACAGCAGCCGCGGUAAUACGUAGGUGGCACGCGUUAUCCGGAUUUAUUGGGGGUAAAGGGCGUGUAGGCGGGAAAGCAAGUCAGAUGUGAAAACUCAGGGCUCAACCCGGAGCCUGCAUUAGAAACUGUUUUUCUUGAGUGCAGGAGAGGCAAGCGGAAUUCCGUGUGUAGCGGUGAAAUGAGUAGAUAUACGGAGGAACACCAGUGGCGAAGGCGGAUUGCUGGACAGUAACUGACGCUGAGGCGCGAAAGCGUGGGGAGCAAACAGGAUUAGAUACCCGAGUAGUC